CCGCUAAUCCGGAGAAAUCGGACAUUCUCAGAAAUUUGAUGAUUGUUGAUUGGAGUUUUGGUGCAGUUGAUUCGUUCUACUCUUAAGUUGGCUGGAAUCUGUUUUCCAGGACAAGCUAGAUGGAGGCUUGGGGUGAAGCGGGUCAAACGAAACAAGAAAGAAGAAAAGGCGUAACUUGGAUACAAGGUGAUUGCCAAGAGUGCCCGGAUGAAGAUCAAGCUCGAUGAGGAACCAAACACGAUAACAUACAAGCUUCCGCGCGACGUUUCGUCGUAUCUUUUAAAUGACGAAUUCAAU
rnacentral:lncRNA from 1 species